rnacentral:rRNA from 1 species
CCCCUUUAAAGGCCGCAAGANGAANGGGAUGCAUCAAGCUUGCCCGUUGGUGAGACUGGCGAACGGGUGAGUAAUGCGUGACCGACCUGCCCCAUACACCGGAAUAGCUCCUGGAAACGGGUGGUAAUGCCGGAUGCUCCAGUUGAUCGCAUGGUCUUCUGGGAAAGCUUUCGCGGUAUGGGAUGGGGUCGCGUCCUAUCAGCUUGACGGCGGGGUAACGGCCCACCGUGGCUUCGACGGGUAGCCGGCCUGAGAGGGCGACCGGCCACAUUGGGACUGAGAUACGGCCCAGACUCCUACGGGAGGCAGCAGUGGGGAAUAUUGCACAAUGGGCGCAAGCCUGAUGCAGCGACGCCGCGUGAGGGAUGGAGGCCUUCGGGUUGUAAACCUCUUUUAUCGGGGAGCAAGCGAGAGUGAGUUUACCCGUUGAAUAAGCACCGGCUAACUACGUGCCAGCAGCCGCGGUAAUACGUAGGGUGCAAGCGUUAUCCGGAAUUAUUGGGCGUAAAGGGCUCGUAGGCGGUUCGUCGCGUCCGGUGUGAAAGUCCAUCGCUUAACGGUGGAUCCGCGCCGGGUACGGGCGGGCUUGAGUGCGGUAGGGGAGACUGGAAUUCCCGGUGUAACGGUGGAAUGUGUAGAUAUCGGGAAGAACACCAAUGGCGAAGGCAGGUCUCUGGGCCGUUACUGACGCUGAGGAGCGAAAGCGUGGGGAGCGAACAGGAUUAGAUACCCUGGUAGUCCACGCCGUAAACGGUGGAUGCUGGAUGUGGGGCCCGUUCCACGGGUUCCGUGUCGGAGCUAACGCGUUAAGCAUCCCGCCUGGGGAGUACGGCCGCAGGGCUAAAACUCCAAAGAAUUGACGGGGGGCCGCACAAGCGGGGAACAUGCGGAUUAUUCGAUGCACGCGAAGAACUUUCCUGGGCUGACAUGUCCCGACGGUCGAAAGAUCCGCUUCCUUCGGGCGGGUUCCAGU